rnacentral:snRNA from 1 species
GUGCUCACUUCAGCAGCACAUAUACUAAAAAAUUGGAACGAUACAGAGAUUAGAAUGGCCCCUGUGCAAGGAUGACAUGCAAAUUCGUGAAGCAUUCCAUAUUUAA